CGGGGGGCCACCCCGUGCAUGACAAAGGCCACUUUGGAGCUGUUUGCGGAGUGGAGCAGGCGCGGGAGGGGCGCGUCCCGGUCGCUCCCUUCGAAAGCCGUCACCUGGCAAAACAAGAGGAAGAAGGCCAGGGAGUGGAAUAUGUUGCUGCCUUGGAGUUUGGUGGAGCCCCCUUUUGACCCCCUUUUCUUUUACCUGGAAAGCGAUGCUCCCAUUCCAACCGGUCCCUCCGUGAUCGGCGCAAACGCCCCGGAAGGUGGCCGUCAGAUCCGACUGGUUCCACUUCCCAUCCAGACUGUCCCAGGUGAAGUUGGCCAAGUCGUAGGCGGGAUAGAAGUCACCCGCCAGCGCUUUGGAGAGAUCCGACGUGUUGGUGCCAUUGUACUCGUACACCUUUAGAAAAAACAUCAAGUCCAGGAUGUCGUUUUAUUUAUUUCUUUUUUUUAAAAAAUUAUUAAAGUUUCAAGUGAAAGCGAAAGAGUGAGAACAACUUAAAGAUAGGACAGAAGUAUGGAAAAAAAGAAAAAGAAAAGUGAAAAUAAGAAAUAUGUGUACAUAAUAAUAAUAGUAAAAAAAAUGAUAAUAAAAAAAGAAAAAAGAUUUUUUUUUUUCAAAAAUGUAAAAAUUGGUUGACUUCCGUUCUUCUUCCUUUGCCCUUUAAAGGAAUUCUGGGUAAAAGCCCCUGUUCCUGUCUCUCUCUUGAAAACAUACACACAUACAAAAAGUUCACAUUCUUUCCUCCAUUUUAUGUCUAAUUAUCAUCAUAUCUUUUAUUUACUUCUUUUUUAAAUAUUCCUUGAAAUUAGUCCAGUCUGUCAUUUUCACUCCCUUUCCGUUAAUUUGUUUUAACAGAAAGGUCAAUUUGUCCAUAUUUUUUAUUUCUCUUAUUUUAUCCAACCCUUGUGUUUUUGUGGGGAUUAAAUCUUGCUUCCAAAAUUUCGCGAAGACCAUUCUAGCCGCUGUUAUAAAAUAAGUAAACAAUUUAUCUGUAUUCGGAUUCUUAAAAAACUCUGCAUCAAACAUUCCCAGUAAAUACACUUCUGGCUUCACCGCAAAGUCUACUUGUAAUAUUUUUUACAUUCAUUGUGAAUCAUUUUCCAAUAUUUUUCUGUUUCCCCACAUGACCACCACAUGUGGUAGUAUGAGACUUUUUGUUGUUUACAUUUCUACAUGGGGUUUUGUUUUUGAAACCUGCACCGGGCUUCUCCAAAGUGUAGGUGCUUGCUGGAGGGACGAGACUCUUCCUUAGGGCAAGCACCUGGCUUGCCGGGAGGGAUAGUAGGGCCUCCCUAUUAUCCGAAAGUUUCGGUUAUCCGACAUUCCGCCCAUCCGUUUAGGUUGGAUAACCAGAACUCUACUGUAUAUGUGUAAAUGUUGAUGCAAUAUCCCCUUUUGUCUAUGUAACCAAUAUAAUUAUUAUAAAACCCAG